rnacentral:rRNA from 1 species
UUAGGAAUAUUCCACAAUGGGGGCAACCCUGAUGGAGCAACGCCGCGUGGAGGAUGAAGGCCUUAGGGUCGUAAACUUCUUUUCUCUGCGAUGAAUAUGACAGUAACAGAGGAAUAAGGGUCUGCUAACUACGUGCCAGCAGCCGCGGUCAUACGUAGGACCCAAGCGUUAUCCGGAUUGACUGGGCGUAAAGAGUUGCGUAGGUGGUUUGUUAAGCGAAUAGUGAAAUCUUGUGGCUCAACCAUAAGGCUAUUAUUCGAACUGGCAAACUCGAGAACAGGAGAGGUAUCUGGAAUUCCCAGUGUAGGAGUGAAAUCCGUAGAUAUUGGGAGGAACACCAAUGGCGUAGGCAGGAUACUGGACUGUUUCUGACACUAAGGCACGAAAGCGUGGGGAGCGAACUGGAUUAGAUACCCAGGUAGUCCACGCUGUAACUAUGGAUGCUAGCAGUAAGCCGUAUCGACCCGGUUUGUUGCGAAGCUAACGCGUUAAG